UCUUCGAACGCACAUUGCGCCCUCUGGUAUUCCGGAGGGCAUGCCUGUUUGAGCGUCGUU
rnacentral:rRNA from 1 species